GGACUACACGGGUUUCUAAUCCUGUUUGCUCCCCACGCUUUCGAGCCUCAGCGUCAAUUAUCGUCCAGCAAGUCGCCUUCGCCACCGGUGUUCCUCCUGAUAUCUACGCAUUUCACCGCUACACCAGGAAUUCCACUUGCCCCUCCGAUAUUCUAGUCCGAAAGUUUCCAAUGCAGGCUUGGGGUUGAGCCCCAAGAUUUCACAUCAGACUUGUCAGACCGCCUACGCUCCCUUUACGCCCAGUAAAUCCGGAUAACGCUUGCACCAUACGUAUUACCGCGGCUGCUGGCAC
rnacentral:rRNA from 1 species